rnacentral:ncRNA from 1 species
GGGAAACAUAAAGCACAAGUCGGGUUACCGACCGGGCCGAAUAGGCAGCAGGUAGAUAAGGCAUCUGCGGGACACAG